UCCUACGGGAGGCAGCAGUGGGGAAUAUUGCACAAUGGGCGAAAGCCUGAUGCAGCAACGCCGCGUGAGUGAUGAAGGCCUUCGGGUUGUAAAGCUCUGUCUUUGGGGACGAUAAUGACGGUACCCAAGGAGGAAGCCACGGCUAACUACGUGCCAGCAGCCGCGGUAAUACGUAGGUGGCAAGCGUUGUCCGGAUUUACUGGGCGUAAAGGAUGCGUAGGUGGAUAUUUAAGUGGGAUGUGAAAUACCCGGGCUCAACUCGGGUGCUGCAUUCCAAACUGGAUAUCUAGAGUGCAGGAGAGGUAAGUGGAAUUCCUAGUGUAGCGGUGAAAUGCGUAGAGAUUAGGAAGAACACCAGUGGCGAAGGCGACUUACUGGACUGUAACUGACACUGAGGCAUGAAAGCGUGGGGAGCAAACAGGAUUAGAUACCCUGGUAGUCCACGCCGUAAACGAUGGGUACUAGGUGUGGGAGGUAUCGACCCCUUCCGUGCCGCCGUUAACACAAUAAGUACCCCGCCUGGGGAGUACGGUCGCAAGAUUAAAACUCAAAGGAAUUGACGGGGGCCCGCACAAGCAGCGGAGCAUGUGGUUUAAUUCGAAGCAACGCGAAGAACCUUACCUAGACUUGACAUCUCCUGAAUUACUUGUAAUAAGGGAAGCCCUUCGGGGCAGGGAGACAGGUGGUGCAUGGUUGUCGUCAGCUCGUGUCGUGAGAUGUUGGGUUAAGUCCCGCAACGAGCGCAACCCUUAUCAUUAGUUGCUACCAUUAAGUUGAGCACUCUAGUGAGACUGCCCGGGUUAACCGGGAGGAAGGUGGGGAUGACGUCAAAUCAUCAUGCCCCUUAUGUCUAGGGCUACACACGUGCUACAAUGGUAGGUACAACAAGACGCAAGACCGCGAGGUGGAGCAAAACUGUAAAACCUAUCCCAGUUCGGAUUGUAGGCUGAAACUCGCCUACAUGAAGCCGGAGUUGCUAGUAAUCGCGAAUCAGCAUGUCGCGGUGAAUACGUUCCCGGGCCUUGUACACACCGAU
rnacentral:rRNA from 1 species